GGGGUCGGAACUCUUCUGCUGGAUCUUCAACAUGUGUUGCACCAGGCGGAUGGAGCGAUUAUAGGAUUUGUCCAGUUCGCUGAUGAUGAACAGCAGAUCCGAGCUGAGGGCUGGCACGGCUGCAUACUGCCACAGCAGAACUGGCAGAUUCUUGGUAAUGCCUGCACCAUCAGACACUAUCUUGGACUUCUUUGGGGGAGCUCUUUCAGACCUUGAAGUUGCUCUCCAGGGAGAGAUUGAACCAGUUUAAACUCUGCACUUGGGUCCAUUGAAGCAGGGGAACCGUACUG